rnacentral:rRNA from 1 species
GAUGAACGCUGGCGGCGUGCUUAACACAUGCAAGUCGAACGGAAAGGCUCCUGCUUGCAGGGGUACUCGAGUGGCGAACGGGUGAGUAACACGUGGGUGAUCUGCCCUGCACUUCGGGAUAAGCCUGGGAAACUGGGUCUAAUACCGGAUAGGACGAUGGUUUGGAUGCCAUUGUGGAAAGUUUUUCGGUGUGGGACGAGCUCGCGGCCUAUCAGCUUGUUGGUGGGGUAAUGGCCUACCAAGGCGUCGACGGGUAGCCGGCCUGAGAGGGUGUACGGCCACAUUGGGACUGAGAUACGGCCCAGACUCCUACGGGAGGCAGCAGUGGGGAAUAUUGCACAAUGGGCGCAAGCCUGAUGCAGCGACGCCGCGUGGGGGAUGACGGCCUUCGGGUUGUAAACUCCUUUCGCUAGGGACGAAGCGCAAGUGACGGUACCUGGAGAAGAAGCACCGGCUAACUACGUG